rnacentral:lncRNA from 7 species
GUACAUUUUCAGCUUAGGAGCAGAGACUAUUUGGGGCACUGAAAGUGAUGGAAAGAAAACAUUAAGUGUUGUUACUUCUGCAGCCUUGCAGAGGCUUGGGACAGCAGUUUUGAGAAAGGAAAGCUGUCGAUUCAUCUUGAAGUGGUACAUGAGUACUUAGUGAUCAUAGAGUCAAGCUGACUCUGAUUCUUCCUGCCAGAAAUGAGAUAGAGGGUCACAUAUCUGUGGGUGACAACUCUAGGAUGUCUCACUGAAUAAUGCUGGGAAAUAAUUCCAUGAAGUAAUACACUUAUUCAAAUGUUUCUCCCAAAAGUCUAAGUUCAAGGACUGUAACAAAACCCAAAAGUAUAUAAUCUAAACUUGCAUUGUAAGGAGGAGGCUCCAAGAGUAAUGCCUUCUAUUUAUUUUCACAUAAAUAACAAGAGAUACAAAGAGUUCACUAGCACUAUUUGAUAGAGCAAAUUUUCAGCUACAAAACAUCAUUUCCCAACAUAGUCACCACCAUUAGGUAUGCAUUUUUGCUAGCAAAAUGAAUGCCAUUCUUGUAAAAAUCUGAAAUGGCAGAGGUGACCCAUUAUUUCACAGCUGCUAUAAUGGCGUUGUUGAUAGGAAAAUGUUGCCCAUGCAGUCCAUUUUUAAUUGGCCCAAAAACAUGGAAGUCAGAAGGUGCCAAUUCCAGACUAUUUGGUGGGUGUGGCAGGGCAGUCCAGAUAAGACUGUGCAACAUGCUCCAUGGUAUUCAAACUGGUAUGGGGCUUGAAGUUAUUAUGUUGUAAGAGAAAAGUUGUCUUCUUCUCUGUCCUGACUUUGGAAGUUUGAGUCUUCAUCUUAGUCAGCGUCGAAGUGUAGAGUUGAUGGUUUACCCAGGUUCCAGAAAAUCCAGAAGGAUCAUCCAAUUUCUAACCCAAAAGACAUUGCACAUCACUUUACCCCCUAAGAGUUGCGUCUUAAACUUUUUGUUUGAUGGAGAAUUCAUAUCACCACUCCAUGGACUGUCAUUCUGACUCCAGCUUGCAGUGCUGACACCACAUCUCGUCACUGCUCAGGAAGGUGCAGAACUUGAAAGACUACUGAGAAGGACAAGAAAGGGGAUCAAAGGUAAAGAUGAGCUCUGAACAAGGAGAAUCUUCAGAUUAAAAGGAGGAGAUAUGGAGAGUCUAUGGCAGAAUAUUACACAGCAAGGAGUCACAACACAAGAACUCCACUUAAGAAAGCGGCCAGCAGCCAAGGAGCAUCCUCGUUUCACAUGCUUACUUUGAACUUUAUUUGAUAGUGCCUAAACUAUUAUAUAAUUUGAUUGGAUUAGGAGGAGUGCACUGCAGCAUUGCAUCAUUACCUGAAUUUAGUUGACCUCUAGGGAAAAUGCACUUCUGACAUCUCGAUCAAUCCAGCCUUGUGAUUUUAGCUCUGGCAUGAGAUGCCAAGGAAAGCUCCAAUGCCACAGCACAGGCUGAGCCCUCGUGCAGAAUCUGUCCCCUGAGAGAAGGUGGAUGGAUGCUGACCUGCUUGCGUGACUUCUGCAGCAGCCUUGUUUUCCACAAGGUGACCAGUCCUAGCAUGGGAGAGAGAUGCAAAUGCAGCAGAAAAGCAGCAUGGGGAGAGGUACAGGAAGAGAGUGGAGGAGGAAGAGGAGGCUGUUGGUGCAUGAAGCCAUUUUUAAACAGAGCAAGACUUCUGCUGUGCCACCUGCAGAGCCUCCAUGGGAUGCAAGACUCCAAAGAGCUGUAACAUGAAGUUUCAUGGCAUCCUGAACUCACUGUGGGUCAGAGCUCACGUAACAAGCUUUGCUCUGCCAUUGGCUCCAAAUGAACCCUUGUUGGAAUGGGCUGAAUGGAGAAGGAACCUAGAGGAAUUGCUCAAGAACGUUGCAAUGAUAUUUUUGAAAAUAAAUGUGGUGAAAUAUUCAU